rnacentral:rRNA from 1 species
AUGCAUGGACGUGCAUGGAUGCCUUCCACGGAUGAGUGGAAGGGGUCAAUCGAACUGGACGAGGGAGCUGUACACAGUGUCGGGCUGCCAGUCGGCCGGGAUGACCUGCCCGGCGACGAGCGACCUGCCGGACUCGUUGGUGACCCGCAGCGAAAAGGGCCCCUGCAGCGGGCGGUGCGUGUCCAACCGCCAGAUGGAGCCCCACGACUCCCUCAUCGGCGUCCAGACCCCAGUCGGCUCACCAUUGUCCGGCCGCGACUCCAUGAGGUCCACCUGCGCCACGUCGCCGUCGCCGUUCUCGUACUCCACCAGGAUCGCCAGGUAGUUCGGGUUCGACCCCUGCUCCACGUGGAACGUCACCGACAGCCCCGGGUACUGGCACGGCACCCUCUUGAACUGCAUGUCGAUGAUGCCGGCGUGGCGGAGCUCGUCGUUUCGGCCGUCCUUGGCCAUGGCGCCGAAGGCGGUGCCGCUGAGGUCGAAGUGGUAGCGGGCCACCGGGUAGUAGUUCAUGUCGGUGAUGAUCACCGUCUCAGGGACGCCGGAGCACGCUGCGUGAGCCACGCACCUUAUCUGCACGCAACGCAACGCAACAAUCCAAGAUCCAUCAGCCUGGAAAAACAAACGAAACGACAAGCACUCUACCGUCACUGUCAAGUAACUGCAAUGUCGGCCACAGCAGCUGACCUGGUAGCACGAGCCGCAUCCCUUGCCGUCCUUGAAGAGCGGCUCGUUGCCGCACGACGUCAUGGCGUUGAACGGCGGCAGGUUCACGUUCUUGAACCCGCACGCGCCACCAUUGUCGUCAGGCCCGGCGCCUCCGGGAGCGCCGUACCAGGUGGCCCUGGCGUCGAGCCAGCCGCCGCCGUCGACGUUGGUGCCGGUGCCGGUGCCGGGGCUGGGGGUGGGGGUAGCGGGGGCGGGUGUAGGCGUGGGGGAGUGUCCAGGGCAGAAUAUGGCAGGCAGAAACCAAAAGCAGCCGCAGCAGCCAUCGGCGGCGAGGAGGCAGAAGAGGGCGACCGCAACGGCGUAGGCGGAGGCCGCUGCCAUCGCCCGCUUUCGCUGGUUACUCGUUGCCGUACUCUGAUCAAAUCAAGAGGAGGAAAAGGACGAAGGAAUGAAUGA